UAAAUCAGAAUAUACUGUCUAUGAAUAUGCUGCCCAUACCUCUCUAUCAUUUAUCAAUCUUUUACUUCUCACUAAUUUAGACUUUUGUUUCCACAGGUGGGAAUGCUGUCCUCCAUUGGUUGAAGAGAUACCAAAAACAUCAUAACCAACCAUGGCCAUUAUGGCUCCAUGCUUAAGGGUCACGGCUAUCAUGUCUUCCACACUCUGGGUCUUGUGGUGUGGAUACACCUUACUGCAGGCACCUUCAAGUUAUAGUUCACACUGUAUUCAGCCCAAAGGGAAUUCUCUCCGAUUUUUUUUUAGCAUUCUUCUAAUGCCAUCCCCCAAACUGCCUGCACUCUGAAGACAAAGAUAUCGAAUCUACAUACAAAC